NCCCGCCUCAACAUGGACCCUGAAAAUAAGGUAUUCCGUGAAUAAGAGGACGCAAAAGAACGUUCAACCGUCAAGGUGAAACUAAACUCUUCCCACCACCGUGGGAACCUGCCGCGUCAGAAUCGAAGGUAAGUGACGCAUCCGAAAUGGGACAAGAAUUAAGUCAACAUCAAAUCUAUGUAGGACAAUUAAAAGAGGCUUUAAAGAUACGAGGAGUAAAGGUUAAAGUAAUGAUUUGUUUAAAUUUUUUGAUUUUGUAAAAGACACUUGCCCUU
rfam:Chlorocebus sabaeus isolate 1994-021 unplaced genomic scaffold Scaffold208, whole genome shotgun sequence.